rnacentral:ncRNA from 1 species
AAACAGAUACCGCCGGGUAUCAUGCCGCUGUUGCCGCUCCGUUAGGCCUUUGAAGGAGUGGCUGCGGCGGUUUUUAUUUU